GACGAACGCGGCGGCGUGCCUAAUACAUGCAAGUAGAACGCUGAAGAGAGGAGCUUGCUCUUCUUGAUGAGUUGCGAACGGGUGAGUAACGCGUAGGUAACCUGCCUGGUAGCGGGGGAUAACUAUUGGAAACGAUAGCUAAUACCGCAUGAAAUGGAUUAUCGCAUGAUAAUUCAUUGAAAGGUGCAAAUGCAUCACUACCAGAUGGACCUGCGUUGUAUUAGCUAGUUGGUGGGGUAACGGCUCACCAAGGCGACGAUACAUAGCCGACCUGAGAGGGUGAUCGGCCACACUGGGACUGAGACACGGCCCAGACUCCUACGGGAGGCAGCAGUAGGGAAUCUUCGGCAAUGGACGGAAGUCUGACCGAGCAACGCCGCGUGAGUGAAGAAGGUUUUCGGAUCGUAAAGCUCUGUUGUAAGAGAAGAACGAGUGUGAGAGUGGAAAGUUCACACUGUGACGGUAUCUUACCAGAAAGGGACGGCUAACUACGUGCCAGCAGCCGCGGUAAUACGUAGGUCCCGAGCGUUGUCCGGAUUUAUUGGGCGUAAAGCGAGCGCGGGCGGUUAGAUAAGUCUGAAGUUAAAGGCUGUGGCUUAACCAUAGUACGCUUUGGAAACUGUUUAACUUGAGUGCAAGAGGGGAGAGUGGAAUUCCAUGUGUAGCGGUGAAAUGCGUAGAUAUAUGGAGGAACACCGGUGGCGAAAGCGGCUCUCUGGCUUGUAACUGACGCUGAGGCUCGAAAGCGUGGGGAGCAAACAGG
rnacentral:rRNA from 1 species